rnacentral:rRNA from 1 species
UAUACCGUGAAACUGCGAAUGGCUCAUUAAAUCAGUUAUCGUUUAUUUGAUAGUACCUUACUACUUGGAUAACCGUGGUAAUUCUAGAGCUAAUACAUGCUAAAAACCCCGACUUCGGAAGGGGUGUAUUUAUUAGAUAAAAAACCAAUGCCCUUCGGGGCUUCCUGGUGAUUCAUAAUAACUUAACGAAUCGCAUGGCCUUGUGCCGGCGAUGGUUCAUUCAAAUUUCUGCCCUAUCAACUUUCGAUUGUAAGGUAUUGGCUUACAAUGGUUUCAACGGGUAACGGGGAAUUAGGGUUCUAUUCCGGAGAGGGAGCCUGAGAAACGGCUACCACAUCCAAGGAAGGCAGCAGGCGCGCAAAUUACCCAAUCCCGACACGGGGAGGUAGUGACAAUAAAUACUGAUACAGGGCUCUUUUGGGUCUUGUAAUUGGAAUGAGUACAAUUUAAAUCCCUUAACGAGGAACAAUUGGAGGGCAAGUCUGGUGCCAGCAGCCGCGGUAAUUCCAGCUCCAAUAGCGUAUAUUAAAGUUGUUGCAGUUAAAAAGCUCGUAGUUGAACCUUGGGCCUGGUUGGGUGGUCCGCCUCACCGCGAGUACUACCUCAGCCGGGCCUUUCCUUCUGGGGAACCCCAUGCCCUUCACUGGGUGUGCGGGGGAGCCAGGACUUUUACUUUGAAAAAAUUAGAGUGUUCAAAGCAGGCCUAUGCUCGAAUACAUUAGCAUGGAAUAAUAGAAUAGGACGUUGGUUUUAUUUUGUUGGUUUCUAAGACCGCCGUAAUGAUUAAUAGGGAUAGUCGGGGGCAUCAGUAUUCCGUUGUCAGAGGUGAAAUUCUUGGAUUUACGGAAGACUAACUACUGCGAAAGCAUUUGCCAAGGAUGUUUUCAUUAAUCAGUGAACGAAAGUUAGGGGAUCGAAGACGAUCAGAUACCGUCGUAGUCUUAACCAUAAACUAUGCCGACUAGGGAUCGGGCGAUGUUAUCUAUUUGACUCGCUCGGCACCUUACGAGAAAUCAAAGUCUUUGGGUUCU